GAACGGAUUGAUGAAGUCGUCGGCAUGGGCGUCCUCCUCCUCCGCCUUCGCCUCCCGCCGCCCGGUCCCUGGCCUCACCGUCGUCGAUCGAGGAACAACCUCUGCCCGCCCCCUCGGCCUCGAUGUGCACGAACAUCGACUUGUCGCUUGCCGACUUCUUUAUCUUCACGGCCAGUUUCACCGGUGCCUCUCCCACCGUCGGGCGCGCGUACGACUGGAUUUGGAUGACCUGGUCGUGCUCCUC
rnacentral:lncRNA from 1 species